rnacentral:rRNA from 1 species
GAUGAACGCUGGCGGCGUGCCUAAUACAUGCAAGUCGAGCGAACAGACGAGUGUGCUUGCACUCUCUUACGUUAGCGGCGGGUGGGAGAGUAAUACGUGGGUAACCUACCUAUAAGAACGGGAGAACAUCGGGAAAACGGAGCGAAUGCAGGAUAAUAUUUAGCUUCGCAUGUGGCAAUAGUGAAAGACGUUUCUGGUGCCACCUAUAGAUGGACCCGCGGUGUUUUUGCUAGUUGGCGAGGUAACGGCUCGCCAAGGGAGCGGUACAUGGCCGACGUGAGAGGGUGAUCGGCCACACUGAGACUGAGACACGGCCCAGACUCCGACGGGAGGCAGCAGUAGGGACGCGUCCGCAAUGGACGAAAGUUUGACGGAGCAAUGCCGCGUGGGUGCAGAAGGUUUUCGGAUCGGAAAACUCUGUUGGAAGGGAAGAACGAGUACGUCAGUAACGGAGCGUAUCGUGACGGUACCUGACCAGAAAGCCACGGCUAACUACGUG